rnacentral:lncRNA from 1 species
CUCCCGUGCUCGGGCACCCUCACAGGAAAACACUUUGUGCUGACGUUCAGACGGAGCUUCCCCUUGUUUCCGGCUGUGCCCACUGCCUCUUGUCCUGUCCCGGGGCUCCACACAGAAGAGUCUGCCGCCAUCUUCUUUCCACCUUCCCGGCAAGGGCUUACACACGUGGACAAGAGCCCUCCUGCAGCCUUCCCUUCUCCAGGCUAAACAACGCCUGCUCUCUCGGGCCUUCCCUCCUAGCACAGAGGCGUCAGUCCCUUUGGCACUGGAGUAGCCCUUUGCUGCACUUCCUCCCGCAGCUCCAUGCCUCUCUUGUCCCGGGCAGCCCGGAGCAGGACCCAGCACUCCAGCUGUGGCCUGCCCAGCACUGAGCACAGGCGAAGGAUCACCCGCCUCCACCUGCUGGCAACACCCUUCCUAAUGCAGCCCAGCAGACCACUGGCUUGCUUUGCCGCAAGCGUGCGCUGCUGGCUCAUGGUCAGCUUGCGGCCCACCCCGACCCCCACCCAGGGCCUUCUCUGCCCAGCUGCUUUGCGGUCGGUCGGCCCCCAGCCUCUCCUGCUGCCUGGCCUUCUUCCCCCUCAGCGGCAGCACUUGGCACUGCCCUUUGCUGAGCUUCGGGAGCUUCUCCUCUGCCCACCUCUCCAGCCUCUCCAGCUCAGGGCCCUCUCCACGGCAGCACAGCCCUCGGCAGUGGCAGCCACUCCUCACGCUUUUCCAUCGCCACCGAGCUUGCACCGUUGGAAGCUGCAGAGCAAGGCUUUGUCUCCUUCCAGCUUUCACACGCGUCUCUUGAGAGGCCUCGCUAUUGCCAGGCAGAGUGCUCCUGCCUUGGUGGGGUGCUCCCUGGCCAGGGGCUUUCAGGCUGUGAGCCAAGCUUAUUAUGCCCCUUCCACAUGGCCAAGGCAUCCCCAGGUAGUACCAAAAGAUGCACCUCUGCCAUCUCCUCCAGCACCGCACACGCCUUCUCUCCCUCCUGAAGGACAGCUUGCAACACAAAACGAGGCACGCACAAGGCAAGGCGUGCGAGCAGCUGGGGCAAAAGGGGAGUACUGCAGGUGCUCCGUUGCCAGAAAUGCUGUCAUGCUGGCCUCACCCAGCUUUUCCCCCUCCUGCUGCGGCUUGCAAAGAGCUCGGCCUCCUCGGUAACGCUCGCUUUGUCAGGCAACUCUGUGCCCUUGCGACAAGGCUCCUGCCUGCAUCGCAAGGCCACC